rnacentral:misc_RNA from 1 species
GAUGAAGAACGUAGCGAAAUGCGAUAAGUAAUGUGAAUUGCAGAAUUCAGUGAAUCAUCGAAUCUUUGAACGCACAUUGCGCCCGCCAGCACUCUGGCGGGCAUGCCUGUUCGAGCGUCAUUUCAACCAUCAAGCCCCAGGCUUGCGUUGGAGCCCUGCGGCUGCCGCAGCCUCCUAAAAGCAGUGGCGGGCUCGCUAUCACACCGAGUGCAGUAGAUUACUCUUCGCUCAGGGCGUGCAGCGGGUUCCGGCCGUGAAACCCCCUACUUUUAAAGGUUGAUCUCGGAUCAGGUAGGAAUACCCGCUGAACUUAAGCAUAUCAAUAAGCGGAGGA